rnacentral:rRNA from 1 species
CGCUUUUUGAUAUUAGAUAAAAAGUAUAGCCUGCCCACUGAAGUUUAAAUGGCCGCGGUAUUUUGACCGUGCGAAGGUAGCAUAAUCAUUAGUCUGUUGAUUGCGGACUGGUAUGAAUGGCUGGAUGGGUAAUUUCUGUCUUUAAUAUAGGAAUGAAUUUUAGAUUUUUGUGAAGACGCGAAAAUUAUGCUAAUAGACGAGAAGACCCUAUUAAGCUUAACUUUAAAGGAGUUUUUAUUGAUAUUUUCUUAUAAGUUAUGUUGGGGCGACAGUGAAAUAUAUGAAACUUUCGGGCUAGAUGAUAUUGUAAUUAGAUUAUUGAAUGAUCCAUUAUUAAUGAUUAUAAGAAUAAGUUACUAUAGGGAUAACAGCGUAAUUUUAUUGGAGAGUUCAUAUUGAUAAUGAAGUUUGCGACCUCGAUGUUGAAUUAGGAUUCCUUCUUUGUGCAGCAGCUAGGGAAGGGGGUCUGUUCGACCUUUGAAUUCCUACA